ensembl:lncRNA
ACACAACAGAGCUAAGGUGUUCGCCCGGGUUCCACACUCCCCAGAUCCAAAUCUUAUUGGGCACUGUGCCAGGAUAAGCCUGAUCUGGAGAGGGGUGGAGUGAUGCUGAUAUACAGCCAGUACAGUAUCUUUGGAUCAAACACUCCACAGAGUCCACAGAAGAGAGACGCAGAGGGAGGAAACUCAGAAACAAACACUCUGAAGAUGUCAGUAAACUUCUCCUCAUCCUCCAAUGACUCCCUUCUUCAUCCAAACAUUUCCUCCAACAAUCUCAUCUCUCCAUUCAUGAAAUGUUACAUCACCAGUCCAAGCUUCUUCAUCUACAUCACGUAUCGUAUCUCCUACAUCCUCCUCCUCCUCCCUCUCUGCAUCUUCAUCAUCUACCAUGGUGUCCAACAAUGGAGACAACAUCACUCCACCUCCUCAGCAGCAACCAUGAGUCACUCUGACAGCUUCAC